rnacentral:lncRNA from 1 species
UGCAGACAAUUUUAUGGUUAGCUAUUCCACUCUUUUUUCGACAUAAUUGAUAAAAAAACACAACGCAAUGAGAUAUAUUUACUGUAUAUCAAGCAUAAAGCAUACAAUUGGCCUGACAGCACUUUUACAUGAAUUAAUGUUACACGAUGAUAAAGUCAUGUGUUCCUUCUAGUGUUUGAAAUGCUCCUUUGGAAUGAUCUUGAUGUACAUAUAGAAGGCUACACAAGAAAUGGUUGGUCCAACCCAGAAGAUCCAGUGUUCGUCCCACAAGUGACCUCCUCUUACGACCGCAGGUCCAAAACAUCUUGCCGGGUGCAUACCAACACCAGAAUACCCUCUCUUUGUUGUUACAGUGGUAGAUACAAACACCAUUAACCCCAUGACAAUGCCUACUAUGGCACAAACAGUCACAUGUCCGAGAGCCUUUGCUUGGCGUUCAUCGAAUGCCAUCCAAACUGAUGCAAAAAGAACCACAAAUGUACAUAUUAUUUCAAGCCAGAGUGCUGCGCUUCUAUCAAUACCCACUGUAGUGGGUCCAUCAGGGCCUGGUGCAAUUACAGUAACGGUGCACCCACCUAGCGAGAAUGUGUGUUCUAUGGAGUUACCUAUGACAGCCUUGAGCGCAAGUGCACCUAAAACGCCUCCAAGACAUUGUGCUAAAAUGUAGAUAAUGGCUCGAGAAAUUGUUAUAAGGCCAAGAAGUGCAGCCGAGAAGGUAACGACUGGAUUAAUAUGGCCUCCGGAUACAGGGAUUGUAGCAAGUAGAAGGAUUGCAAUCAAAACAGCUACAAGUAUGGACAAGAGUAAGUUUGGUUGUUUGGUUUCUGUUUCAAAGGACGCGAUGACUAUGGUAUCAAUUCCAAAAACAAGAAUUGCUGUUCCGAGAAGCUCAGCAAUGGAGGCUUGCCAUACCUACAAAGUCAUGAUUGAUUAAUAUUAAUGUUAGAUUAAUAAGUCUUGCAAAAAAAUGUUAAAUUAAUAACCAAACCUUCAAGUCUUAUAAGUUCUAAACACUUGCUAUUCUACUAGUAUAACUACUACUGCUGCAGUGCUACUUCUGAAAUUUUUGCCUGGCUUUAAUAUAGAUCAUGAUGUUUACCUUAUAGGAGUAAAAAUCCUCCAAGCCCAACCUGCUACUGAAGUUGGAUAUUAUUGGUUUCUUGUCUACAUUUUCCCAGUCUACUGACCUGUUGAACAGGGGAAAAAAGGGGAUUUUAGAGUAUACAACAAUCUUCAAGGACUUCCAAAUUAUUUGACACUGCAGAAACUUUAAUUAGCACUGAUAGAACACUAUGACAACCAGGGCCUUAAAAAAGUUCAAAAUACUUAAAAUUCCAAUUAUUUGACAUCAAAAUUCGCUUUCAGUGCAGUCAUAGCUAGUGUGCAAAAAACAUUGAGCACUCAUGUAUUCCAUAGAUGUAAUUUACGAUUAAGAGAUCUAAAUCUUGCUUGACGUCAAGAGUAAUAUAAACUGACUUGCCUGGGAAUAGAGUCAAUAGAUUGGACUUUGCUGUUGAAUUGGCUUUCUUCAUCCCCAACACCUCCAUUUCUUAUUGCCAUGAUUUAAUGAAGUUCAAGCGAGAUCUGUGUUCCUGAGUUGUCUUAACCUUGGAAACUGCAUGCAUAUAUAUACAGUUAUACACACACUUGGGCUUAAAAUAAUAGAGAUGGAGAGAAGAUGGAUGAAUGUUUUCUGUGAAGCAUGCAUGUCUAUCUGAUUCUGUGGGAUAUUUUGCCUACUAUAUAUAUAUCACUAUGAUUGAUGAUGAGAUUAAGUUCUUUUAUUCAAUAUCAUAUAAAAUGCAUGGUGUAUUUAAUAAUGUAGUCAUCCUAAAUGUACUAGAACGUUGAUGCCGCCGCGAGAUAUACAUCAACACGAGUUGGUGCUCAUCUCAAGGCUACAUAUGACUGUGUCUAUGAGGCCUAAUUAAAUUUCAAAAUUUCAAGUAGGGUGCAUGGUAUAUCUAUACUCAACAUGAUAAUUUUUUUUUUUUUUUUAUAUAUAUACUCAUGGAACACGAUGCUAUUAUUGAUUAAUCAUACAUGUUACUAAAUAAUAAGAUUCCUUCUUAUAUAAAGUCUUGAUGACAGAUCAUUGCGAGUAUAGUAAAUGCCAUGAAAGACCUGUCUCUAAGAUAUGCAUAGUCAAGUCUUAGUAUGUGGAAGAAAUAAUGUGAUAGUGUUUCACCCUGUUAUAUUAAUUGUUGUUACUGCGCGCUGUUAGUAUAUUCUUCGGUUGAGAGAAAGGAUUAAAAAAUAAGAUUUAUAGACAAUGAUCGAUCAAGUUGAAAAAUAGAUUAAUGCAAUAGUAAGGAGUGGUUAUGAAGCUACAAGGAUCGACAGUCAUCAUUUUUUCAUUGUAUUGACUGUCAUUGCAAGCAACUCAGUCAUAAUAUAGAAUAGAAAAAUACCAUGGAGGUAACAUUGUCCCCUACUCCCUUGUAGAUGAUUGCAUCCGAGAUGCUUUUUUAGUUGCCUUGAUAUAAGCUUACUCGAGUUUUAUGAGUAUAAGGUUUUCAACAUACAGAUAGUUUCCGCUUCCCAACUCAGAGGGAAGAUUUGAUCUGAGAGUAUGAUCUUAAGGCUGGUGUGGAAUGAUCUUAAUGUACAAACAAAAGGCUACACUAGCAAUGGCUGGUCCAACCCAGAAAAUCCAAUGAUCAUCCCAUAAGUGACCACCUCUUACAAUUGUAGGCCCAAGACAUCUUGCAGGGUUCAUUCCAACACCAGAAUACCCUUUCUUUGUAGUUACAGUUGAGGAUAUAAACGCCAUUAGCCCGUUCACAAUGCCGAUGAUGGUAAAGACGGUCACAGGUCUGGCCUUUAUUUGGCGUUCAUCAAAUGCAAUCGAUACUGAAGCAAAAAGAAAAACAAAGGUACAUAUUAUUUCAAGCCAGAGUGCUG